AUCACUGUAGUAGUGUCUAUCUGUGUGUGCUUAUGUGAUGUUGAUGCGUGCUAAUGUGUGUCUAUGCACUUUUACCUGUGUCUACUGUGUAUGAUACUUGUGUUAUGUUGUUCUCAUGUCA